rnacentral:rRNA from 1 species
UGGGGAAUAUUGCGCAAUGGGGGGAACCCUGACGCAGCCAUGCCGCGUGAAUGAAGAAGGCCUUCGGGUUGUAAAGUUCUUUCGGUAUUGAGGAAGGUUGAUGUGUUAAUAGCACAUCAAAUUGACGUUAAAUACAGAAGAAGCACCGGCUAACUCCGUGCCAGCAGCCGCGGUAAUACGGAGGGUGCGAGCGUUAAUCGGAAUAACUGGGCGUAAAGGGCACGCAGGCGGUUAUUUAAGUGAGGUGUGAAAGCCCCGGGCUUAACCUGGGAAUUGCAUUUCAGACUGGGUAACUAGAGUACUUUAGGGAGGGGUAGAAUUCCACGUGUAGCGGUGAAAUGCGUAGAGAUGUGGAGGAAUACCGAAGGCGAAGGCAGCCCCUUGGGAAUGUACUGACGCUCAUGUGCGAAAGCGUGGGGAGCAAACAGGAUUAGAUACCCUGGUAGUCCACGCUGUAAACGCUGUCGAUUUGGGGGUUGGGGCUUAACUCUGGCGCCCGUAGCUAACGUGAUAAAUCGACCGCCUGGGGAGUACGGCCGCAAGGUUA